AUACGGAGGGUGCAAGCGUUAAUCGGAAUUACUGGGCGUAAAGCGCGCGUAGGCGGAUAUUUAAGUCUCAUGUGAAAGCCCUGGGCUCAACCUGGGAACUGCAUGGGAUACUGGGUAUCUAGAAUACAGUAGAGGGUAGUGGAAUUUCAGGUGUAGCGGUGAAAUGCGUAGAGAUCUGAAGGAACAUCAGUGGCGAAGGCGACUACCUGGACUGAUAUUGACGCUGAGGUGCGAAAGCGUGGGGAGCAAACGGAAUUAGAAACCCUAGUAGUCC
rnacentral:rRNA from 1 species